rnacentral:rRNA from 1 species
UGUGUAGGCGGUUCUCUAAGUUCCGUGUGAAAUCUCCCGGCUUAACUGGGAGGGUGCGCGGAAGACUGGAGGGCUGGAGUAUGGGAGAGGAAAGCGGAAUUCCUGGUGUAGCGGUGGAAUGCGUAGAUAUCAGGAGGAACACCUGCGGUGUAGACAGCUUUCUGGACCAUCACUGACGCUGAGACACGAAAGCGUGGUAGCAAACA